GUCCAGGUGCUAUGCAAGGCAUCGCCGCAAAACCCCGCCAGAGCCGGAAGGCAGCAACGGUAUGCGGAUGGUGUCUGUGCCGUAGAUUACCUGGACUCU
rnacentral:SRP_RNA from 1 species